CCCGUGUUUACUGUACCUUAGUUGCUUCGGCGGGCCCGCCAUUCAUGGCCGCCGGGGGCUCUCAGCCCCGGGCCCGCGCCCGCCGGAGACACCACGAACUCUGUCUGAUCUAGUGAAGUCUGAGUUGAUUGUAUCGCAAUCAGUUAAAACUUUCAACAAUGGAUCUCUUGGUUCCGGCAUCGAUGAAGAACGCAGCGAAAUGCGAUAACUAGUGUGAAUUGCAGAAUUCCGUGAAUCAUCGAGUCUUUGAACGCACAUUGCGCCCCCUGGUAUUCCGGGGGGCAUGCCUGUCCGAGCGUCAUUGCUGCCCAUCAAGCACGGCUUGUGUGUUGGGUCGUCGUCCCCUCUCCGGGGGGGACGGGCCCCAAAGGCAGCGGCGGCACCGCGUCCGAUCCUCGAGCGUAUGGGGCUUUGUCACCCGCUCUGUAGGCCCGGCCGGCGCUUGCCGAACGCAAAUCAAUCUUUUCCAGGUUGACCUCGGAUCAGGUAGGGAUACCCGCUGAACUUAAGCAUAUCAAUAAGGCGGAGGA
rnacentral:rRNA from 1 species